AACGAACGCUGGCGGCAGGCCUAACACAUGCAAGUCGAGCGAGGACUUCGGUCCUAGCGGCGGACGGGUGAGUAACGCGUGGGGACGUGCCCUUUGCUUCGGAAUAGCCCUGGGAAACUGGGAGUAAUACCGGAUGAGCCCUUUGGGGGAAAGAUUUAUCGGCGAAGGAUCGGCCCGCGUUGGAUUAGGUAGUUGGUGGGGUAAUGGCCUACCAAGCCGACGAUCCAUAGCUGGUUUGAGAGGAUGAUCAGCCACACUGGGACUGAGACACGGCCCAGACUCCUACGGGAGGCAGCAGUGGGGAAUCUCAGACAAUGGGGGAAACCCUGAUCUAGCCAUGCCGCGUGAGCGAUGAAGGCCUUAGGGUUGUAAAGCUCUUUCAGCUGGGAAGAUAAUGACGGUACCAGCAGAAGAAGCCCCGGCUAACUCCGUG
rnacentral:rRNA from 1 species